UGGCGCAGGAUGGAUUUGUAGUGCAUCGAAUGGACUAUGAAGGCCAUGGAAAGUCUUCUGGACUUCAAGGAUAUAUUAGUAGUUUUGAUGACAUUGUGGUUGAUUCCUAUAAAGUACUUUGCAAGUGUUUGUGAGAAAGAAGAGUAUAAGAAACGGAAGAAAUUUUUGCUUGGAGAAUCCAUGGGGGAGCAAUUGUGCUUAUGCUUCACAGAAGGGAACCUACCUUUUGGGAUGGGGCCAUUUUGGUUGCUCUGAUAUGCAAGAUGGUAGAAGAUAUGAAGCCUCAACCCAUUGUGAUUUUGACUUUAAGUAAGCUCAGCAAUGUGAUCCCUUUGUGGAGAAUCAUUCCUAAUGAAGAUAUCAUAGAUAGGGCAAUUAAAAGCGAGGAGUGGCGUGAAGAGGUAAGAAAUAAUCAUUAUUGCUACAAAGGAAAGCCUAGGGUAAAGACUGGUUAUGAAAUUUUCAUAGCAAGCCUGGAUAUGAAAGCAAUCUU